GGGGUUGUGGCUCUGUGGUAGAGCACACGCCUAGUGUGUGUGAGGUGCUGGGUUCAAUCCUCAGCACCA
rnacentral:tRNA from 1 species